rnacentral:lncRNA from 10 species
CUGUUUUCAUUUAUAUUCAGUUGUUCAUCUGUUAUUCAUUCAAGAAGGUUUAUUAGUAGCCUAGACAUAUUUAAGUAGUUGAAUCAUUGAGUCUACAUAGAAAGUUAAUAAUAUGAAGCUGAAUCAUUGAAUCUACGUAGAAAGUUAAUAAUAUACUCAAUGAUCAGUGAUAUGGUUCGGCUAUGUCCCCACCCAAAUUUCAUCUUAAAUUGUAGUUCCCAUAAUUCCCACAUGUUGUGGGAGGAAUGUGGUGGGAGGUAAUUGAAUCAUGGGGACAAUUACCUCCAUACUGUUCUUGUGAUAGUGAGUGAGUUCUUACGAGAUCUGUUGGUUUUAUAAGGGGCUUUUCCCCUCCUUCACUUUGCACUUCUCCUUGCUGCUGCCAUAUGAAGAAGGACAUGCCUGCUUUCCCUUCCGCCAUGAUUGAAAUUAGGAUCAGCUCUUGUCCAGUUCAAGCUGACUCCACUGAGCCUCCAAUGGCCUGUAUGAAUGCCCAAUGAGUGCCCUUUUGACAUCAGAAGGCCAAAAACUCCACCCUCAGAUUGUGCCAACGACACCAUCUUGCGAACGUGGAUCCUAUGAAAAGCCAUGAAGCUUAACUGCACUCGCACAGAUCAGCAAUUACCUCACUUUUCCUUACCACCAAUUAACUUUUUCCAUGCAUUGGACUGCCUUGCUCCUUUAUCCCACAAAUAUCCCUAAUGCCCCAACUUCAAGGAGGAGAAUUUGAGGGGUGUUAUCCCACCUCCUCACUUGGCUGCCUCAUGAAUAAAAUCUUUUCUCCACUGCAAAACUCAUUGUCUCAGUGAUUGGCUUACUGCAGGAUGGGCAGAAUGUGCCUGGUUUGGUAUCAGAGGAAUGACUGCAAAGAGGCAUGUUCUAUAUCUUAA